rnacentral:rRNA from 1 species
GGCGUAAAGGGCUCGCAGGCGGUUUCUUAAGUCUGAUGUGAAAGCCCCCGGCUCAACCGGGGAGGGUCAUUGGAAACUGGGGAACUUGAGUGCAGAAGAGGAGAGUGGAAUUCCACGUGUAGCGGUGAAAUGCGUAGAGAUGUGGAGGAACACCAGUGGCGAAGGCGACUCUCUGGUCUGUAACUGACGCUGAGGAGCGAAAGCGUGGGGAGCGAACAGGAUUAGAUACCCUGGUAGUCCACGCCGUAAACGAUGAGUGCUAAGUGUUAGGGGGUUUCCGCCCCUUAGUGCUGCAGCUAACGCAUUAAGCACUCCGCCUGGGGAGUACGGUCGCAAGACUGAAACUCAAAGGAAUUGACGGGGGCCCGCACAAGCGGUGGAGCAUGUGGUUUAAUUCGAAGCAACGCGAAGAACCUUACCAGGUCUUGACAUCCUCUGACAAUCCUAGAGAUAGGACGUCCCCUUCGGGGGCAGAGUGACAGGUGGUGCAUGGUUGUCGUCAGCUCGUGUCGUGAGAUGUUGGGUUAAGUCCCGCAACGAGCGCAACCCUUGAUCUUAGUUGCCAGCAUUCAGUUGGGCACUCUAAGGUGACUGCCGGUGACAAACCGGAGGAAGGUGGGGAUGACGUCAAAUCAUCAUGCCCCUUAUGACCUGUGCUACACACGUGCUACAAUGGACAGAACACAGGGCAGCGAAACCGCGAGGUUAAGCCAAUCCCACAUAUCUGUUCUCAGUUCGGAUCGCAGUCUGCAACUCGACUGCGUGAAGCUGGAAUCGCUAGUAAUCGCGGAUCAGCAUGCC